rnacentral:rRNA from 1 species
CCUACGGGAGGCAGCAGUGAGGAAUAUUGGUCAAUGGGCGCGAGCCUGAACCAGCCAAGUAGCGUGAGGGAUGACGGUCCUGCGGAUUGUAAACUUCUUUUAUCAAGGAAUAAAGUGAGGCACGAGUGCCUUUUUGUGUGUACUUUAAGAAAAAGCAUCGGCUAACUCCGUGCCAGCAGCCGCGGUAAUACGGAGGAUGCGAGCGUUAUCCGGAUUUAUUGGGUUUAAAGGGGGCGAAGGCGGCCUGUUAAGUCAUCGGUAAAAGUGCGGGGCUCAACCCCGCCGCGCCGUUGAAAAUGGCGGGCUUGAGUUGGCGAGAGGUACGCGGAAUGCGCGGUGGAGCGGUGAAAUGCUUAGAUAUCACGCAGAACUCCGAUUGCGAAGGCAGCGUACCGGCUCCACACUGACGCUGAGGCACGAAAGUGUGGGUAUCGAACAGGAUUAGAUACCCGUGUAGUC